rnacentral:misc_RNA from 1 species
GAAAUGCGAUAAGUAGUGUGAAUUGCAGAAUUCAGUGAAUCAUCGAAUCUUUGAACGCACAUUGCGCCCCUUGGUAUUCCAUGGGGCAUGCCUGUUCGAGCGUCAUUUGUACCCUCAAGCUCUGCUUGGUGUUGGGUGUUUGUCCCGUCUCCGCGCGUGGACUCGCCCCAAAGUGAUUGGCAGCCGGCGUACUGGUCCCGGAGCGCAGCACAUGUCGCGCAAACGAGUGCCUUGGUACGGCGGCGUCCAUAAGCCCCUCUCUCACGCUCUUGACCUCGGAUCAGCUAGGGAUACCCGCUGAACUCAAGC